rfam:Brachypodium distachyon strain Bd21 chromosome 1, whole genome shotgun sequence.
CUAGUACUCUCUCUGUUCCAUAGUUCUUGUCGAAAUAUUACAUGUAUGUAGACGCAUUUUAGGAAUAGAUACAUCCAAUUUUGAACAAAUUUGAGACAAGAAUUAUAGAACGGAGGGAGUAUUAA